UCAAAGGUAGUUUAACUCAGAACUUAGGCUUUGGGAGCCUAAAGUGCUUUUAUUAGUUCUUUGAA
rnacentral:tRNA from 1 species